rnacentral:lncRNA from 1 species
CAGAGAUGUCUGAGCUAUCGACGCAGCGGGUGUGAUGUUGUGCGGGAGCCCAAAGACGUCUGAGAUAGCGACGCAGCAGGUGUGGUGCGGGGGUACAGUGAGGUAUCAGUGACGCAUCGGGUGUUUGCGUGGGCGUACAGAGACGUUUGUACUAUCGAUGCAGCGGGUGGUUGUGCGGGGUACAGGGACAGACUGUACUAGCGACGC